rnacentral:rRNA from 1 species
GUAAGGAAUAUUGGUCAAUGGACGAAAGUCUGAACCAGCCAUGCCGCGUGGAGGAUGAAGGUCCUCUGGAUUGUAAACUUCUUUUAUAUGGGACGAAAAAAGGCUUUUCUAAGUCGUCUGACGGUACCAUAUGAAUAAGCACCGGCUAACUCCGUGCCAGCAGCCGCGGUAAUACGGAGGGUGCAAGCGUUAUCCGGAUUCACUGGGUUUAAAGGUUGCGUAGGUGGAUUGCCAAGUCCGUGGUGAAAUCUUCGAGCUUAACUCGGAAACUGCCAUGGAUACUGGUGAUCUUGAAUAUCGUGGAGGUUAGCGGAAUAUGUCAUGUAGCGGUGAAAUGCUUAGAUAUGACAUAGAACACCAAUUGCGAAGGCAGCUGGCUACGCGAAUAUUGACACUCAGGCACGAAAGCGUGGGGAUCAAACAGGAUUAGAUACCCGAGUAGUCC